rnacentral:rRNA from 1 species
UGAGGAACAUGACCUUCGGCGGGGGAUAGCCGGCCCAACGGCCGGGUAAUACCGCGUACGACCACAUGGGGACAUCCCUGAGUGGUGAAAGCAGCAAUGCGCCGAUGGAGUGCCUCGCGGCCUAUCAGCUAGUUGGUGAGGUAACGGCUCACCAAGGCGACGACGGGUANCUGGUCUGAGAGGAUGGCCAGCCACAUUGGGACUGAGACACGGCCCAGACCUNUACGGGAG